AUGCACGCUGGCGGCGUGCCUAAUACCUGCCAGUCGAGCGAACAGACGAGGAGCUUGCUCCUCUGACGUUAGCGGCGGACGGGUGAGUAACACGUGGAUAACCUACCUAUAAGACUGGGAUAACUUCGGGAAACCGGAGCUAAUACCGGAUAAUAUAUUGAACCGCAUGGUUCAAUAGUGAAAGACGGUUUUGCUGUCACUUAUAGAUGGAUCCGCGCCCCAUUAGCUAGUUGGUAAGGUAACGGCUUACCAAGGCAACGAUGCGUAGCCGACCUGAGAGGGUGAUCGGCCACACUGGAACUGAGACACGGUCCAGACUCCUACGGGAGGCAGCAGUAGGGAAUCUUCCGCAAUGGGCGAAAGCCUGACGGAGCAACGCCGCGUGAGUGAUGAAGGUCUUCGGAUCGUAAAACUCUGUUAUUAGGGAAGAACAAAUGUGUAAGUAACUAUGCACGUCUUGACGGUACCUAAUCAGAAAGCCACGGCUAACUACGUG
rnacentral:rRNA from 1 species